CUUGGGGUGGGUCCUGAAGGUAUUUACUGAGUCAGAGAUGCUGAGAUUAGGCCUGGUUUUCCUGAUGGGGAGUCUGAAUCAUCAAAGACGGCAGCCUUCCCCAGCAGUCUGGGGGCUCAGGAAGCCCAGCCAGCCUGCGGGUCCUCUGCUAUCCCUGAGUGAGCCUGCAGACAGCUGCUCCAGAGUCCAUGGGCUGCUCUCCUCUUGAGGUUUUCUGGUGGUUUUGGUUCAUUGCUCCCCUCACAUCUCCUUGGACUAUUCAGCAGAAGUGAUGUGUGCCUGUUCCCUGAGACACUGAACACUGGAAAUUCCUCCUUUUCUGUGACCUGGAGUUUUAAACAAAUCGGCGGGAAUAUGUUCCUCUAAGCAAUCCCGUGGGCGCCCCUGUUCCUGUCAGCCUGCCUCCAACUUCCCUACAUCACAAGCUCUGAGCAGGAUGUGCCUUCCUGUUUUGCUACCACUCAAGCGUCCUGCUGCUGCUGCUGCUAAGUUGCUCCCGUCAUGUCCGACUCUGCGACCCCAUAGACGGCAGCCCACCAGGCUCCCCCGUCCCUGGGAUUCUCCAGGCAAGAACACUGGAGUGGGUUGCCAUGUCCUUCUCCAGUGCAUGAAAGUGAAGAGUGAAAAUGAAGUCGCUCAGUCGUGUCCGACUCUUAGCUACCCCGUGGACUGCAGCCCACCAGGCUCCUCCGUCCGUGGGAUUUUCCAGGUUAUAGCCUCCGUGGCCUCCCAGAUCACCAGUGUUCUCAAUUCAGAUUUUUGCCAGAAUGUUUAUGGCUCCUCUGCCUGCAGCUGCAGCGUGAAAACCGCCUGAAGGCAGAGAGCUGCGGAGUCACCAGGUUGAUGUGUGUGCUCACCUUCACUCGAGGAACCUAGCCC
ensembl:lncRNA